GUGUCGUCUGCAAACUUACUGAGGGUACACUCAGUCCCUUCAAAAGCAGAGUAGAGGGGCGGAAAGACCUCUCUCAACCUGUUGAUGCUUUUCUUGAUGCAGCCCAGGAUAUGGUUGGCCUUGUGUGCUGCAAGUGCAUAUUGCAGGCUCACAUUGAAUCUUUCAUUAUUUGACACUCCCAAGUCCUUCUAUCCAGGGCUUCUCUCGUGCCGUUCUCCACCCAACCUGUAUCUGUGUUUGGGAUUACCCCAACCCAGAUGCAGGACCCUUGCACUUGACCUUGUUGACCUUCACAGUGUUGGCAUGGGCCACCUCUCAAGCCUGUCCAGGUCCCUCUGGAUAGCAUCACUUCCCUCUAGUGACUCAACUGUACUUUUCAGCUUGUUAUUGUUUCCAAACUUGUUUAAGGUGCACUUGAUCCUACUGUUCAUGUUGCAUACAAAGUUGUUAAAAAACACUGAUCUCAAUGCUGAUCCCUGAGGUACCCCACUCAUCACCUGUCUCCAUUUGGACAUUGAGCUGUUGACCACAUCUCUCUGAGUGAGACCAUCCAGCCAAUUCCUUAUCCAGGGAGUAGUCCAUCCAUCAAAUCCAUUUUUCUCCAAUUUGGUGACCAGGAUGUCAAGCGAGAUAGUGUGAAAUGCUUUGCACAAGUCCAUGUAGAUGAUGAUCUCUUCCUUUAUCCACUGACACUGUAACUCCAUCGUAAAAGACCACCAAGCUUGUCAGGCAAGACUUGCCCUGGGUGAAGCCAUACUACCAAUCACCUCGUCUUUAUUUUCUGUGUGUCUUAGUUGGGCCUUCGGGAGGAUCCACUCCAUGAUCUUGCCAAGCACAGAGGUGAAACUGACUGGCCUGUAGUUCUCUGGAUCUUGGCUUUUUCCCUUCUUGAAAAUGGGGGUUAUGUUUCCCCUUUUCCAAUCAGUGGGAACUUCAUCAGGCUGCCAUGACCUUCCAAAUAUCAUAGAUAGCAGCUUGGCAGCUUCAUCUGCCAGUUGCCUCAGAACCUGCUUACUUGAUUUCUGUACCUACAUCCUGUGAAAGGCAGGAGCUAAAUACAUGUCACUGCCUCCUUUUGGUAACUCAGUGCUCAGUAGAAUGGCUUUUUUCAUUCUGAGAUUAUCUCAUUCUCCUUGAGCAUGUUUCCUUGUAUACAGCAUUCCUCCUAUAGCACUAAGAGAUUAGAAGUUGGUAUUGCAGUACGUUUGUUGUAAUUUCUGUGCUGCUGAUGUCUUAGGAAGAAAGACUAUGUUUCUGUGGAAUGAAUUUGCCUUUCUAUCAUCUAGAUAGGCUCAUAAAGGUUUAUUGUGCAGGUAGUAAUUUCUUACAAAAUGAUAUCCACUUCAAUAAUUCAUGAAUUUCCUUGAGGAAGUAUUAAAGGCUUCAUAAAGGAAAAUAUUAGUGAAAUAAGUAUUAAAUCUGUGACCUUAUUUAUAUUUUAUCCUUGGGAGGGGUAUCACACAAACUUUAGUUACUGAUCUUCAUAACACUUAUUAGUCUUGUGUCUGUAUGCUUCUAAAUACACUAAUUGUCAUUAUUAAUUAGCUUUUUAUGAUUCAUUCAGAACAGCAUGUAUAAAAUUGAGCGAUGGUGCAAAAUUUAGUUUCUAUACGUUUCAUAUUUGAUUAUUUAUUUCUUUAUUACUGUAUCAAAAAUAUCUAUACUGUUGAUGGUUAAUUAUAGUUGAUUGCGCUUCGACAAGUGAGACUUUCAGAAAUUUAUUAUCGGUGGUACAGUUGAAACAGCACAUCACUGAAUAACUGAUUUUAAACGUUAUUUAUAUAAUGUCUCUGUUUCAUAUAAAAUUGUAUUUUUUUACAGUAUGGGUAUUAGAAGUCGUAUUUAUUAUAUUUAAAGCUAUAACCACAAACGUGAACACUAAUAAAGAGCUUUAAGUGUGUCUUGGCUACUUAAUAAAGAUAUGUUGUUAUUGUUGGGGAAAAAAGAAACUUCAUUCUGCCAUACUAUAAAACAUCUUUGUCAAAUUUUUUAUUUCUUCCUUUGCAUGUGUUUUAUGAAACCUUCCAUUUUGCCUCUUGUCUAGUGAGCUUUUUUUCACUAAAUCCUGUGAAUUUAUCAAACUAUACUGUGCAGUUACAACUCUAUGGAUUUUACACAGGUUAUUAUUUUUUAUUUGGUUUAUUAGUCAUAAUAUAAGUACCAUAGGAAGUGGAAGAACCAUUACAAAUGCAUGGUAUUUAUGUGGAGAGAUGAUCCAGACUUGCAGCAGGUAUUCAGGAAGACUGAAUAACUUUCUCUCCUACAUGUUUUGUUCAUAACUGAUGAUUUAUCUGCCCUUUCUGAAAAGAGUAGGUUUAAAAGACAGCUCUUUGGAGUCCUAGUCGUUGCUAAGCAAUUCAAGGAAGUGUUGAUUAUUGCCUAAACAGUGGCACUGCUCUGUAGCCACACCCCUUGACGCUACUUCUCGUGUAGGGAGUGGAUGCUGCAAUCCUCUACAGGCAGCAGUGAAUAUGGACUCUGGUAGUGCUGCACCAUGCCCUUGGUGUCUUCAGCCUCUCUGUUCUCCAAGGGUAUGGUACCGUUGAGAAUUACCAAUGCAGUGUUCUUCAGCUGUUGUUAUCUAGGAGAAGAGGAGAGGAGAACACUUCUACAUUUCACUGUGUUUGCUGUUUAGGAAUAGAUUGGAAUAUCAUAGACUGAGUUUCAACUUGUAAAAAUAAAUGUGCUUACAUUACAUAGCCAGAAAUUACUGAUUUUUGCACAGGUGAUUCAGUAUGAUAUUCUUGAUGAACUUUUGCUCAGGGAUGAGCUUGGAAGACUGGCAUUCCAUUUGAUUCUUUUUCCUUUAGGAGAUCUUAAAUUUUCCAUGUCAUUUGUGUAAUUAAAAUUGAAAAAGUUGGUGUUGUUCCUAUUUGCUUACUUCCUUUCCAUUUGAACUACUGAGUUGGUUAAUUCCUAGUCAUUUAUUAAUUCUUUUCCCUCUCAAUCAACCUAUUUCCUUUAAUACUAUUGUGAAAGUAAUAUGAGGAACAUUUAAUUUCAUAUUUGCUAUUUGAAGCAUUUUAAACUUUGGCAACACAGUGCUGCAUUAUAAUCUGUGUCUAAGCAAAAGCAGGAAUGAUAACAAUAUAUCAUACUGAAAUUCACGUACUACUUGGUGACAUGAGUCUGCAAAACAGAGUAAGUCUCAUAUGAAUCUAGAAAAUACAAAAUUCAGGAAGGCAAUCUUUUUCAUAUUUUAACUUUAAAUUUCAGUUUUAUAAAUAUAUGAAGUCUAACUAACUAUAAUGCAGAAUUGUUAGCUUAAAUUAUUUAUUUGCAAAAUGUUUACUUUUUAUAUGUCAUUCUGUACUGCAUGCUUCCAUCCUUUACAUGGUCUCUUCUCGCAGAGUAUUGCGGCAGAAAAUUCAGGUAUUGCUUGUGGAACUUUGGAGUUUGUAUCAUUAUGCUUUAGGAAAAAAAAAAAAAAUGACAGGAAGUUCUUUCUAAGUAGAAAUGAAGAUUUACUAUUUCAUUUCAGAAACUUUCUUUAUUUAAAGUUUAAGUUGGUUUCUUUGUUAGAGAUUAUUCAAUUGUAGUGGGGACAAUGGUUCAUAUUUUUUAGCCUGCAAAAGAGAUUUUUGCAGAUUGACCUGUUCUUGACAACAAAAGGAUCUUUAUUUCACAGAACAACACUACCUUCAUCAGAAUUGCCUUUUGUACAUUCCAUGGCAUUGAGGACCUUUAUAAAAGAUACUUUUUGUAGUAUUGUAGGAAUCAGAAAGUGAGUAUUCAGAAACUCAAUUCCUGUGGCUGUAUCUAGAAUUAAUAGAUCAAAAUAUUCCUUUCUUAGAAUUGUUUUCAUGCCUAACAUAAAUUAUCAUACAUUCAAAUGUAUAUGCUGAUU